AAAUUGAAGAGUUUGAUCAUGGCUCAGAUUGAACGCUGGCGGCAGGCCUAACACAUGCAAGUCGAACGGUAACAGGAAGCAGCUUGCUGCUUCGCUGACGAGUGGCGGACGGGUGAGUAAUGUCUGGGAAACUGCCUGAUGGAGGGGGAUAACUACUGGAAACGGUGGCUAAUACCGCAUAACGUCGCAAGACCAAAGAGGGGGAUCUUCGGGCCUCUUGCCAUCAGAUGUGCCCAGAUGGGAUUAGCUUGUUGGUGAGGUAACGGCUCACCAAGGCGACGAUCCCUAGCUGGUCUGAGAGGAUGACCAGCCACACUGGAACUGAGACACGGUCCAGACUCCUACGGGAGGCAGCAGUGGGGAAUAUUGCACAAUGGGCGCAAGCCUGAUGCAGCCAUGCCGCGUGUAUGAAGAAGGCCUUCGGGUUGUAAAGUACUUUCAGCGGGGAGGAAGGUGUUGUGGUUAAUAACC
rnacentral:rRNA from 1 species